AAAUUGAAGAGUUUGAUCAUGGCUCAGAUUGAACGCUGGCGGCAGGCCUAACACAUGCAAGUCGAACGGUAG
rnacentral:rRNA from 1 species